UCAAUUAUCUUGAACAAGAUCUGUGCUAUAAGUUGUACAUCUGUUUCCAUUAACACAAUGGAGACACGCACAACAAUGUAGAAGAUGAUAUAUUGCCACUUGCUGGAUCUAUCUCCACAGAGGAUCACUGUCUUAGCUGAUGGCUGAUAAGAUGGCCAUGUGGCAGUCUGCCAGAUC
rnacentral:snoRNA from 1 species